GGGGUUGUGGCACAGCGGUAGAGUGCUUGCCUGGCAUGCAUGAGGCACUGGGUUCGAUCCUCAGCACCA
rnacentral:tRNA from 1 species